UGGAGCCUGCGGUUUAAUCGGACUCAACGCCGGGAAACUCACCAGAUAAGACAGCUGAAUGAUAGUCGGGCUGAAGACUCUACUUGACUAGCUGAGAGGAGGUGCAUGGCCGUCGUCAGUUCGUACUGUGAAGCAUCCUGUUAAGUCAGGCAACGAGCGAGACCCACGCCAACAGUUGCCAGCUCGUCCUCCGGGAUGGUGGGGACACUGUUGGGACCGCCUCUGCUGAAGAGGAGGAAGGAAUGGGCAACGGUAGGUCAGCAUGCCCCGAAUUAUCUGGGCUACACGCGGGCUACAAUGGGUGGGACAAUGGGUAUCGACACCGAAAGGUGAAGGCAAUCUCCUAAACCCAUCCGUAGUUCGGAUUGUGGGCUGCAACUCGCCCACAUGAAGCUGGAAUCUGUAGUAAUCGUGUCUCAAAAUGGCACGGUGAAUAUGUCCCUGCUCCUU
rnacentral:rRNA from 1 species